rnacentral:misc_RNA from 1 species
GAUGAAGAACGUAGCGAAAUGCGAUACGUAAUGUGAAUUGCAGAAUUCAGUGAAUCAUCGAAUCUUUGAACGCAUAUUGCGCUCUCUGGUAUUCCGGAGAGCAUGCUUGUUUGAGUAUCAGUAAACACCUCAACUUCCAUAUCUUUUUUGAAAUGGGAGUUGGACUUGAGUGAUCCCAACACUUUUCCUCACCGAAAAGUGGCGGGUUACUUGAAAUGCAGGUGCAGCUGGACUUUUCUCUGAGCUAUAAGCAUAUCUAUUUAGUCUGCCUAAAAAACAGAUUAUUACCUUUGCUGCAGCUAACAUAAAGGAGAUUAGUUCUUGUGCUGACUGAUGCAGGAUUCACAAAGACAGGCUUCGGCCGACUUUGUAAACUCGAUCUCAAAUCAAGUAAGACUACCCGCUGAACUUAAGCAUAUCAAUAAGCGGAGGA